GUGGGGAAUUUUCCGCAAUGGGCGAAAGCCUGACGGAGCAAUACCGCGUGAGGGAGGAAGGCUCUUGGGUUGUAAACCUCUUUUCUCAGGGAAGAAUAAAUGACGGUACCUGAGGAAUAAGCAUCGGCUAACUCCGUGCCAGCAGCCGCGGUAAUACGGAGGAUGCAAGCGUUAUCCGGAAUGAUUGGGCGUAAAGCGUCCGCAGGUGGUUUUGUGUGUCUGCUGUUAAAGCGUGCGGCUUAACCGCAUAAGGGCGGUGGAAACUACAAAACUAGAGUACGUUCGGGGCAGAGGGAAUUCCCAGUGUAGCGGUGAAAUGCGUAGAGAUUGGGAAGAACAUCGGUGGCGAAGGCGCUCUGCUAGGCCUGUACUGACACUGAGGGACGAAAGCUAGGGGAGCAAAAGGGAUUAGAUACCCCUGUAGUCCUAGCCGUAAACGAUGGAUACUAAGUGCUGUGCGACUCAAAACGUCCAGUGCUGUAGCUAACGCGUGAAGUAUCCCGCCUGGGGAGUACGCAGGCAACUG
rnacentral:rRNA from 1 species